rnacentral:rRNA from 1 species
GGGCCCUACGGGAGGCAGCAGUGAGGAAUAUUGGUCAAUGGGCGCAAGCCUGAACCAGCCAAGUCGCGUGAGGGAUGACGGCCCUAUGGAUUGUAAACCUCUUUUGUCGGGGAGCAAGGCCCGCCACGUGUGGCGGGAAGGAGAGUACCCGAAGAAAAAGCAUCGGCUAACUCCGUGCCAGCAGCCGCGGUAAUACGGAGGAUGCGAGCGUUAUCCGGAUUUAUUGGGUUUAAAGGGUGCGUAGGCGGGCUGUUAAGUCAGCGGGCAAAUGUCGGGGCUCAACCCCGGCCUGCCGGUGAAACUGG